rnacentral:tRNA from 1 species
GUUUUAAUAAUUUAAUAAAAAUAUUGGUCUUGUAAAUCAAAAUUAAGAGCCUUUCUUUUAAAACU